rnacentral:rRNA from 1 species
AACGAACGCUGGCGGCAGGCCUAACACAUGCAAGUCGAACGGGACCUUCGGGUCUAGUGGCGGACGGGUGAGUAACGCGUGGGAACGUGCCCUUUGGUUCGGAAUAGCCCCGGGAAACUGGGAGUAAUACCGGAUGUGCUCGAGAGAGGAAAGAUUUAUCGCCAAAGGAUCGGCCCGCGUUGGAUUAGGUAGUUGGUGAGGCAAUGGCUCACCAAGCCGACGAUCCAUAGCUGGUUUGAGAGGAUGAUCGGCCACACUGGGACUGAGACACGGCCCAGACUCCUACGGGAGGCAGCAGUGGGGAAUCUUAGACAAUGGGGGAAACCCUGAUCUAGCCACGCCGCGUGAGCGAUGAAGGCCUUAGGGUUGUAAAGCUCUUUCGUGGGGGAAGAUAAUGACUGUACCCCAAGAAGAAGCCCCGGCUAACUCCGUGCCAGCCGCCGCGGUAACAC